CUGGCUCAGGACGAACGCUGGCGGCGUGCUUAACACAUGCAAGUCGAACGGAAAGGCCCUGCUUUUGUGGGGUGCUCGAGUGGCGAACGGGUGAGUAACACGUGAGUAACCUGCCCUUGACUUUGGGAUAACUUCAGGAAACUGGGGCUAAUACCGGAUAGGAGCUCCUGCUGCAUGGUGGGGGUUGGAAAGUUUCGGCGGUUGGGGAUGGACUCGCGGCUUAUCAGCUUGUUGGUGGGGUAGUGGCUUACCAAGGCUUUGACGGGUAGCCGGCCUGAGAGGGUGACCGGCCACAUUGGGACUGAGAUACGGCCCAGACUCCUACGGGAGGCAGCAGUGGGGAAUAUUGCACAAUGGGCGGAAGCCUGAUGCAGCAACGCCGCGUGCGGGAUGACGGCCUUCGGGUUGUAAACCGCUUUCGCCUGUGACGAAGCGUGAGUGACGGUAAUGGGUAAAGAAGCACCGGCUAACUACGUGCCAGCAGCCGCGGUGAUACGUAGGGUGCGAGCGUUGUCCGGAUUUAUUGGGCGUAAAGGGCUCGUAGGUGGUUGAUCGCGUCGGAAGUGUAAUCUUGGGGCUUAACCCUGAGCGUGCUUUCGAUACGGGUUGACUUGAGGAAGGUAGGGGAGAAUGGAAUUCCUGGUGGAGCGGUGGAAUGCGCAGAUAUCAGGAGGAACACCAGUGGCGAAGGCGGUUCUCUGGGCCUUUCCUGACGCUGAGGAGCGAAAGCGUGGGGAGCGAACAGGCUUAGAUACCCUGGUAGUCCACGCUGUAAACGGUGGGUACUAGGUGUGGGGUCCAUUCCACGGGUUCUGUGCCGUAGCUAACGCUUUAAGUACCCCGCCUGGGGAGUACGGCCGCAAGGCUAAAACUCAAAGGAAUUGACGGGGCCCCGCACAAGCGGCGGAGCAUGCGGAUUAAUUCGAUGCAACGCGUAGAACCUUACCUGGGUUUGACAUGGAUCGGGAGUGCUCAGAGAUGGGUGUGCCUCUUUUGGGGUCGGUUCACAGGUGGUGCAUGGCUGUCGUCAGCUCGUGUCGUGAGAUGUUGGGUUAAGUCCCGCAACGAGCGCAACCCUUGUUCACUGUUGCCAGCACGUUAUGGUGGGGACUCAGUGGAGACCGCCGGGGUCAACUCGGAGGAAGGUGGGGAUGACGUCAAGUCAUCAUGCCCCUUAUGUCCAGGGCUUCACGCAUGCUACAAUGGCUGGUACAGAGAGUGGCGAGCCUGUGAGGGUGAGCGAAUCUCGGAAAGCCGGUCUCAGUUCGGAUUGGGGUCUGCAACUCGACCUCAUGAAGUCGGAGUCGCUAGUAAUCGCAGAUCAGCAACGCUGCGGUGAAUACGUUCCCGGGGCUUGUACACACCGCCCGUCAAGUCAUGAAAGUUGGUAACACCCGAAGCCGGUGGCCUAACCGUUGUGGGGGAGCCGUCGAAGGUGGGACUGGUGAUUAGGACUAAGUCGUAACAAGGU
rnacentral:rRNA from 1 species